CAGAGUCAUCACUAGAAGCACUUCCAUUGACAGAAAUUGGUGACCCUGGCAAUCCGGGGGCUACUUCCGGCAUCGGAGGCGGAUUCAUUGAUGCUGAACUCAACUCUAUUCUCAAUUGCUUGGUUUGUCAAGAAGCAGAAGCUUUCUAUCUAAGGAGAAGAAGCAGAAGGUAGAGGAAAUGGAAGACCCAAAUGUUAAAGAAACAGAGACAACAAACAUGGAAGUAGCCAGGUAGGUAAUUUGGUUAACUGGGUAUGUUUGUGUUUAUCAAAACCGAAGUAGAAUAGAGAGAAGAAGAAGAACAAAGAGAGAGAGAGAGAGAGAUGAGGAGAAGC